UUACAAGUGAACUUUCUUUCCUGUUUUAAAGCCUUUUAAAUAAACUUCCACUCCUGUGCUGAAACUUGCCUUAGUCUUUUUUUCUGCUUUAUGCCCCUCAGUCGAAUUCUUUCAUCUGAGGAGGCAAGAAUUGAAGUUGCUGCAGACGCCUGUGGAUUCACCACAAGUACAUUGGAGUAACCACUGGGAACAACAGGUUGCCUUAGAAGCUUUGCAGGUUGUUUUGUUUUUUUGUUUGUUUGUUUUUUUGAGACGGGGUCUCACUUUGUCGCCCAGGUUUGUUGCCCAGGCUGGAGUGCAGUGGCGCAAUCUCGGCUCUCCGCAACCUCUGCCUCCCGGGCUCAAGUGAUCCUCCCACCUCGGCUUCCCGAGUACCUGGGACUACAGGCAUGCACCACCACACCCGGCUAAUUUUAAUUUUUAUUUUGUAUUUUUAGUAGAGUUGGGGUUUCACCAUGUUCCCAGCUGGUCUUGAACUCUUGAGGUGAAGCAAUCCGCCCACCUCAGCCUCCCAAAGUGCUGAGAUUACAGACGUGAGCCAUCGCGCCUAGCCUUGCAAGUUGUUUUUUGUUGAACAGAAGAAGCUAUUCAAAAAUGUCCAGGACUCUGUUAUUUAUUCAGCAAGCUUACAAAGCCAUCUUUGAUUGACUGAUUCUUUGACAAUGACUAUCUGGAUGACACAGGAAGGAUGCAAUUCUGGCCUUGGAGAGAAAACUUGCAAGGAAAGGAACAUGUUUGAAUUUCAGAUGUGUUCCUCAAUGAAUCACGAUCUUCAGGGAAUGUUUCAGGUGGAGGAAGGGGCUCUUGGUCAAUGAGCCUGAAGACUGCAUGGCAACCUUUGCCAGCUUUUGGCCUGAAAACUCAACUUCUUCAUUUGAGAUAAUUCCUGUUUUAUAUACUUUCAUUUGAGAUAUUCCUGGUGUAUCAACUGAAACAAAAUCUAUGAAAUAUCAGAUUCACAAAAAUACAUUUUGAAUAUUGAACGUGGAAAAAAAAAAAAAAAAAAAAAAAAAAAAAAAAAAAAAAAAAAAAAAAAAAAAAAAAA
rnacentral:lncRNA from 1 species